ensembl:snRNA RNU6-898P RNA, U6 small nuclear 898, pseudogene
GUGCUUGCCUCAGCAGCAAAUAUACCAAAAUUGGAAUGAUACAGAGAUUAGCAUGGCUCCUGUGCAAGGAUUACAGGCAAAUUCGUGAAAUGUUCCAUGUUCAA